rnacentral:rRNA from 1 species
UACGUAGGGGGCGAGCGUUGUCCGGAGUUACUGGGCGUAAAGCGCUUGUAGGCGGUCCACCAAGUUUGGGGUGACAGUUGCCGACUUAAUCGGCAAAGUGCCUCAAAGACUGGCGGACUUGAGGGCCACAGAGGGACAUGGAACUCCAGGUGUAGUGGUGAAAUGCGUAGAUAUCUGGAAGAACACCAGUGGCGAAGGCGGCUCACUGGCCCGAUACUGACGCUGAUGCACGAAAGCGUGGGGAGCAAACAGG